rnacentral:rRNA from 1 species
GACAGAGGGUGCAAACGUUGCUCGGAAUUACUGGGCGUAAAGCGCGUGUAGGCGGGCUAGUAAGUCGGACGUGAAAUCCCUGGGCUCAACCCAGGAACUGCACCUGAAACUACCAGUCUUGAGUGGUGGAGAGGGAAGUGGAAUUCCUGGUGUAGAGGUGAAAUUCGUAGAUAUCAGGAGGAACACCAGUGGCGAAGGCGGCUUCCUGGACACUAACUGACGCUGAGACGCGAAAGCGUGGGGAGCAAACAGG